rnacentral:lncRNA from 1 species
AUAAACUGAAGGCGUUCCAAACAAAAUAGAGCAGAGAAACAUUUUAAAUUAAACAUUGGAGAUAAAAUAUUACAAAAAUAGACAUAAAAAUAAGUUGAGUCCUACUAAGAUAGAUCAUAAACUGUACCAACGAAAUAAAUUAAUUCCCUGGGAGGGGAGAGGAGCAGUAGAAUUCGCUAUGGAUUUCUUUGAAUCGCAUAUUUCCAGGUUGUACUUAAUCCAUCAGCUUGCUUGAUAUUGAUGAUGAUAUUCGUUUUGCAGUUCCUUAGGAUUUCAAUUUUUUCGGCUGGGGGUGGCGUUUUGCGGUCAUACACAUUUUUUAUAGCUUGUGUGUCAUGUCAGAGGAUUUUCGUAUCUUUUUCAAGGGCUCUUGGGGCUGGGGCGGUGUUGGGGUUACCCUUAGAUAUGUUUUCCAUGUGUUCUGUGGCUCUGUCCUUAAAAUUUCGGGCUGUGGCUCCUACGUGUAUUUCCAACUAGUUGUCUUUGAUGUUCUGUAGGGGGGUCUUGCGUAAC